rnacentral:rRNA from 16 species
CCCUGUUGAGCUUGACUCUAGUCUGACUUUGUGAAAUGAGUUAGAAGGUGUAGCAUAAGUGGGAGCUUCGGCGUCCGUGAAAUACCACUACUUUUAAUCUUGUCUUACUUACUCCAUGAUGCUGAAUAGGGCCUCGCCCUCUUUCUGGUGUCAAGGCGCUUCGCGCGCCGAUCUGCGUGGAGGACAUUGUCAGGUGGGGAGUUUGACUGGGGCGGCACAUCUGUUAAA